rnacentral:rRNA from 1 species
AACUGCGAGUGAAGUGGGAAAAGCUCAAAUUUAAAAUCUGGCAACGUUUUGUUGUCCGAGUUGUAUCCUAGAGAAGUGCUACCUGCGCUGGACCCAUGUAUAAGUCUCCUGGAAUGGAGUGUCACAGAGGGUGAGAAUCCCGUCUUUGACAUGGACUACCAGUGCAAUUGUGGUGUGCUCUCAAAGAGUCGAGUUGUUUGGGAAUGCAGCUCUAAAUGGGUGGUAAAUUCCAUCUAAAGCUAAAUAUUGGCGAGAGACCGAUAGCGAACAAGUACCGUGAGGGAAAGAUGAAAAGAACUUUGGAAAGAGAGUUAAACAGUACGUGAAAUUGUUGAAAGGGAAACAUUUGAAGUCAGUUGUGUUAGCUGGGGAUCAACCUUGCUUAUUGCUUGGGUGUAUUUCCCAGUUGACAGGUCAACAUCAGUUUUGACCAGUAGAAAAAAGCUAAGGAAAUGUGGCACCUUUGGGUGUGUUAUAGUCCUUGGUUGUAUCUGGUGGUUGGGACUGAGGGAUGCAGCACACCACAAUGGCCGUGGUCUUGACCACGCUUGUGCUUAGGAUGUUGGCAUAAUGGCUUUAAGUGACCCGUCUUGAAACACGGACCAAGGAGUCUAACAUGCCUGCGAGUGUUUGGGUGGAAAACCCAAGUGCACAAUG